rnacentral:sRNA from 1 species
GCGGGAAGGGAAGGGUGCGGCGCCUGGCCGCAGACAGACAAGGGGGCGCCGGCUCUUCAGAACCCCAGGGAGAAAGCGGUGGAGGGCUAGAGUUGAGGAGAUUAAGGACAUUUGAGGAGGGCAGGCAUUACCAAGUUAAAACCUCCUGGAAGACAACUCCAUUGGGCGACCCGUCUGCGCCGCACAGCCUGACGGGAGCGUCGUCCUUCCUGCGCAGGCUGCAACCGACAGACGGGCUCGGCUCCGCCUCCAGCCGCGGGGCACGCGGGGAGAGCCGAGCGUUUCUCCCUCCCUCCGCUAACCCGGACAGCAAAAGAGCAUUUCCGGCGUAAGACUGUCCCUACGGAAGGGGUGGGGCUAGUUUGGCCCCGUCUUUCACGCCCAGAGGGGGCGGGGUGAACCGUGACAGCGCUUCGGCCCGCACUAAGGCCGGCUCUUGUGCCGGAAGGAGGAAGGCGUGGGGCAUUCGCCUCUCGGAGCUAGGGAGUGUGUGCGACGCCGCUGCGAGGUCACGUGAGCCACUGCCGGCAGAGAGGGAAAGGGGCGGGGCCCAGAACGAAGUGGGGAGGCGCCCUUUGUUUCCCUGGGGUCACGCGCAGCCGGAAGUGGCGGCUGCUGCGGAGAAUUGGAGAUGGGGACCGCCCUGGACAUCAAGAUUAAAAGAGCGAAUAAAGUUUAUCACGCCGGGGAAGUGCUCUCUGGCGUGGUGGUCAUAUCGAGUAAGGAUUCAGUCCAACACCAGGGAGUGUCUUUGACCAUGGAAGGAACUGUAAACCUCCAGCUCAGUGCCAAAAGUGUGGGUGUGUUUGAAGCUUUUUAUAAUUCUGUUAAGCCUAUCCAGAUUAUCAACAGCACCAUAGAAAUGGUGAAGCCAGGGAAAUUUCCCAGCGGCAAAACAGAAAUCCCUUUUGAAUUUCCUCUGCACGUGAAGGGUAACAAAGUUCUGUAUGAGACGUAUCAUGGCGUGUUUGUCAACAUUCAGUAUACACUGCGCUGUGACAUGAAGCGGUCUCUGUUGGCCAAGGACUUGACAAAGACCUGUGAAUUUAUCGUUCACUCCGCUAUGAGGAAACUGAGUUUCAGCAAGAUGGGGAAAUUUGACAGAACUGUGUUCAGGACCCAGGCUUGCGCCUCUUAGUUCCCCGUCCUUCCUGCAUCGCCAGGCUGCCGUUGGUUUAUUUUUGAAAGGGAAAAGCUAUUUGACCUGCAGAACUCUUGGCCUUCACCUACUGAUUUCGGUUUCACCUCUCGUUUUAGCCUCAGAAGGGGAAGUUUACUCCCAGUCCCGUGGACUUCACGAUUACACCUGAAACCUUACAGAACGUCAAAGAGCAUUCCCACCUGACAGAGGCCGGGCAGCAACGUGCUUUUCAAAGAUUCCACAGUGCCCUCCGUGGUGGACGCCUCACGGCCAGGGCAGGUACCGUGAGGACACAGACGCCUGGGCAGUGCCAGCCCAGCUCCCCCGCCUCCUGCGUCAGGACAGGGCUGUCUGGCUGUCAGUGGCAGCCGCUGGUGGAGCCUCAGCUGGUCCCUCGAGCUGCACGGUGAACUUGGGCCCGUCCAAAACUCUGCCUGGCCCCGGCCUCCCUGAUCUUGCCCUCUCAUCCACUGCCAUGCAUUUCUCCUAAACAGUGGAGUCCUGUAGUUCUUCCUGGAUGUAACUUUUCAUCCUUCCUCUAAUUCUUUAUUCUGCUGUCUGGACCACACUGACUAGGAUCAAGUGAAGGACAAGCUGGGAGGCCUGGGCCCUGGGAUGUCAUUGGCCUCAUCCCUCAGAGGCUGGACAUGUGUCGUGGGGAGCCUUUCAGACAGGGAAGCCAAAAGAGUGGACACCCCUGCUCUAGACCAUCAUCAGUCCUUCCUGGCCAGUGUCCUGUCUGCAGAGUAAAGAGAGCUUUGCUUCCCAAGUUUCUCCUUCGAGGACAUCUCAACUCAACAAACUGUGUCAUCACACAGCCGCUAACGGGAGAGCUGGUGGUGGAGAGCUCGGAAGCCGCCAUCAGAAGCGUGGAGCUGCAGCUGGUGCGCGUGGAGACAUGCGGGUGUGCAGAAGGCUACGCCCGCGACGCCACGGAGAUUCAGAACAUUCAGAUCGCCGACGGGGAUGUGUGCAGGGGCCUCUCUGUCCCCAUCUACAUGGUCUUCCCUAGGCUGUUCACCUGCCCUACACUGGAGACCACCAACUUCAAAGUGGAAUUUGAGGUUAACAUCGUGGUGCUUCUUCACCCUGACCACCUCAUCACGGAGAACUUCCCGCUGAAGCUCUGCAGGAUAUAGCCCGGAGGAGGGAAGCAUAGAAAACGGGAGUGGCCAUCUGGAAAUCCAGCUGGUUAUCCAAAUCCUAAGGGGAGCUACAGCCAGCGGCAUAUACUUGUUUUUGUGAUUAUUCUGUAUCAGAAAUGAAACAGACCCUCAAAUUAACUUUCCUUCCUCAUUUCUUGAGGCUUCUGCUUCCAACAGGCACUUCUAAUCAGACCUUUUCUUUGAAAUUCAACAAGAUUUCUUAAUGCUAUUUGCCAAGACCAUUUCACAGAAAACAUUGACUGUGGCUCUUGCCUUAUCUGUUCCUUUUUAGGUACAGUAAAACAAUUGUGACAGCAGUUUGAGCUUGCUGGAGAGUGGCAUCACAGGGACAAAAGGAAACCUCUGACUUGCUAAUGGAUGUAGCCAGGGACUCCCCAUAGCAAAGGGUCUGUGGCCAGUUGACAUCCAGGAUGGCUGCAAGCACACUCGAUGGUCAGGAAGUUUGCAGAUACUCGCCAAGGCAGAGCGCAAAGUGCUAGCCACUGGAAAUGCAUGACUUCCCUCCACCCCUACUCUAUUCUGUAGUUUUUUGGUUUUGUUUCUGAGACGGAGUCUCAGUCUGUCAGCCAGGCUGGAGUGAUCUCAGCUCACUGCAACCUCCACCUCCCAGGUUCAAGCGACUCUCCUGCCUCAGCCUCCCGAGUAGUUGGGAUUACAGGUGACUGCCAUCGCGCCUGGCUAAUUUUUGUAUUUUUAGUAGAGACGGGGUUUCACCAUCUUGGCCAGGCUGGUCUUGAACUCUUGACCUCGUGAUCCACCCGCCUUGGCCUCCCAAAGUGCUGGGAUUACAAGUGUGAGCCACCAUACCCAGCCUCUGUAGUUCUUUUUACAACAUUUUUCAUUAUAACUUUAAAUUUUUUAAGCAACUGGAAAAGUGUUCCUUGCUCUCAUGGGGGGAUUUGGCUGGUGCUGAAGUGUUUCUGAAGUCUCAAGAACUGCCAUAAAAUCUCACGCUGCCAUUUCCCUGAACAGAUACAUACAUAGAGAGAGACAGUUUUCCAAACUGUGUCACGCAGGCUGAGCGCACUGGCAGGAUCACAGCUCACGGCAGCCUCAACCUCCCUGGCUCAAGCGAUCCCUCCCCUUAGCCUCCUGAGUAGCUGAGACUACAGGUGAGUGCCACCACACUCAGCUAAUUUUUAAAUUUUUUGUAGACAGGGUCUCCCUAUGUUGCCCAGGCUGGUCUUGAACUCCUAGACUCAAGUGAUCUUCCUGUCUUGGCCUCCCAAAGUGCUGAGAUUACAGGUGUGAGCCACUGUGCCCAGCAGUUUCCCAGAAUAUAUUUAAAUGCAAAGUUACAUGAGGGGAAAACAUGUAUGUUUGCUCCUGUUGUUACUGGGUAGGUUCUGAACAGCAGAAACCCAUGUGCAGGGUGGGCUGGUGAAGGCCCCUCUCCGCAAGGUGGUAGCAGGAAAAGGUCCUUGACUUGAUGAAUUUGGUCUGCCUCUGAGCCACUGGAGGAAGCUGUUUUGAGCCAGGGAUUUUUGGCCUAAAGCCAGCAUUUCCUCAGUCUCCCUUUGUGGUUCGAAGGAUAUGGACUAUUGCAAUACAUUUCUUCCUUCAAAUCCUGCCACUGUUUUGUUGGCCCACAACUAAUAGGACCUCAAAAUAAGCCAUGCUGCUUUGCACACACACUAGCCUUCUUUUGUACUUUUCAUUCUGGAUGGGCUUGGCCAAAACAGGCUCAGGCCAAAGACCUCCCAAGCUGUAUGUACUUCCAGUAUCCUGAAACAGUGUUUGGUGACGUAAUGCCAAGGGUAAACAAGCCUGAUUUAGGCACUGCUUUAUCCAGGGGCUUCACCCAUGAAAUUAAUAAAACUUAUCUGAGUCACUUGAAACUUGGUUCCCAGAAAAUACAUUUCUGGUUUAUAAUCUCCUUUUAUGCUCACCUGACAUUAAUUAUCUAUCCUUGAUGAUGUGUUUAAACUGAGUAGCAGAAAACAGAGGCCACACUUUCUGGGAAAUUUUAAAGGAAGAAACCAUUUUUAAUGAGAUGAAAAUAUUUAACGAAUUUAAAAAGCUAAUGACAAUUUUGAGAAAAGGUUUGGGAUGUAUAUUGCUAUGUAAUUUAAUAAACUGAUUUUAUGGAUAUAAAUA